UGUCAGCAGUAACCAGAGCUGGCUCAGUGACUGAGAGCAGUAGGAACAUCGUUUCUUGGCAACCGUGGACAGCACACAAGAUCCAGCUAAUCACCGGUACCAGCAGAUAUCCCAGGACUCCUGAGUUGGCUGUUUCCUUCUUCGUGGCAUCUUCUCACUGGGGUUUGACCUGAGCAUUCUGGGAAGCGUGGUUCAGCUUUUUGAACCUCGCUAUCUCUCUUUUCUUUCUCCCUUCCUGCUUCCAAGUGGUUGUAUUUUUGGUUAUUGUUUAAACAAACAAACAGAACCCAAACGAACAAAUCCAAA
rnacentral:lncRNA from 14 species